UAAUUUUGAAGAAACAUAAGUAUGAGAGUAUAAAGAGUACACUUUGCUAAAGCAUUCUUCAUUUAUAUAAGUUGUUUCUUUAUUACUUCCGACAUAUAAAAAAGAUCCAUCAAUCUCAAAAAAUAGUUUGAAUGAUACUUCUUCACAUUUAGUACAAGAUAAUACUUCAUCAAUAAACUGGUCAACUGCACUUUCUACAUGUUCUAAAUUGAUUUCAGAAGUUUUAACAUAGUUUAAUAUAACAGAACAACAUCUCUUUACUACUUCUGUAUUAUACCACUUGACAAAUAUGAUUGGCAUACAAAUAUCCAAAUUCAGUAUUAGAUGAUUUUUCAAAAUAAAAAUAUAAAUGAGUGCUUAAAAAAUCGACAAGAUCAUCAUAAUAACUAUCAUUUAGACACAAUUUUGCAGGACUUUUCAAAUGGCUAAGUACAAUGAAAUGCACAUGAAGUUGAUUUUGUAUAUUCUCUAAAAUAAUUUCUUUAUCUAGGUCAGUAAUUAAGAGAUUCUUGAGACUAUUCCAUAUAAUUUGCUUUAAAUUUGUUAAUGCAUCAUCAAUUAUCAAAACUUCAAGAAGUAAUGUUAAAUGGGAUAUGACAGGGGGUGUCAUAGCUUUGGCUAGCUUUCCAGUAAGACAAAAUUUUAUCAGAUUUAUGACCUAUAAUAUUAAAAGCUAUUAUUUCAAAAAAUUAGACAAAUAUAUAAUAAUUAUAUUAAGUCAAUUUUGAACAGCUGCUACUUUUAUUCUUGAAAUAAGUUAACUUAAAAAUACACCAUUUGAAGAUUUAAGAGUUAAAUAGAUGGAAGUUUUUAUUAAUUGUUGUGUAUUAUGUAACCAAAACUAGAAAUUUGACUCUAUAGGGUUUUAAGUCCCAAUAUUUUUUGGUGAAACUUCAAAAAAAUGUUUGAAAAAUUAUGAAAAAGUUCUACAUUUAUAUUUAAGUUUUAUUUUCUUUAUUUAAUUAUAUUUAAAUUUGAUUUAAAAUAAUUGUGAAUAAAUUUUAAAUAUAUAAGGUGUUUGGUUUAUCACAGACUACUUGAUUACUCUCAAAAUAAAUAUAAUAUUAUAGCUUAAAGGAAUAUCAACUUAAUUUUUUUAAAUGGUAACACAUAUUUAACUAAAUUAUAAGAUUGAAAAUAGUCUAAUUAAGAAAAUUACUGGUCGAUAACAACUUUUGAACUAGUACUUUAAGCGUUAUUCUCAUUUUUUCCCUAAUACGGCUGAACAAUGACUAGUGAUAAAAAUAGAAGCACCUAGUCUUUACUACCAGUCUUUACAUUAAAUUGAUAAUAACUUAAAAAGUAAUUAUUAGCUGAUAAAUCAAAAAAUAUAUGUAAUUAAAAGAAAUCAAAAUUUUUUCCAUUAUCGUACCUAUUUUGCAAGUAAUCAAGUGGUUUAUGAUAAACCGAACACCUAUAUAUCAUCAUUGAACAUUUCUUGGCCUAUUAUCCCAUAGGUAUAAAAAUGUUAAUAACUUAAAAAUAAUCACAACUUAUAUUUCACCAAUAGUCUAUUUUUUGUAUACAUUUUAAAAUGAUAAUAACUUUCAAAAUACUGGUCUAAAAGUUGGAUCAAGGAUUUUUAAAAUUUGAUCAUUUUUUAUUUUAUAAGCUAAUUAAAUAUAACUCUCAAAAAAUAUAGGUGCUAAUUCUUAAUAAGUAGUC